CCGGACGCCGUUCGGGUCCGGUUGGACAUAGAGAGCGUCGGCUCUCCGUUUACCGGCGCCUCUCAUGCCCAGAUCGCUUCAUAGGAGGAUUUGGAAAUGAGAA
rfam:Sphingobium baderi strain DE-13, complete genome.